rnacentral:piRNA from 1 species
UAUGGGAUUAGACUUAGUGAACCUGAGUAAAC